UCCUACGGGAGGCAGCAGUAGGGAAUAUUGGACAAUGGGUGCGAGCCUGAUCCAGCCAUGCCGCGUGCAGGAAGACGGCCUUCUGGGUUGUAAACUGCUUUUGCCAGGGGAUAAAAAGUCCCUGCGGGGAAAAUUGAAGGUACCUGGUGAAUAAGCCACGGCUAACUACGUGCCAGCAGCCGCGGUAAUACGUAGGUGGCAAGCGUUGUCCGGAUUUAUUGGGUUUAAAGGGUGCGUAGGUUGUUUUGUAAGUCAGUGGUGAAAUCCGGCAGCUCAACUGUCGAUGUGCCAUUGAUACUGCAGAACUUGAGUACAGACGAGGUAGGCGGAAUUGACGGUGUAGCGGUGAAAUGCUUAGAUAUCGUCAAGAACACCGAUAGCGAAGGCAGCUUACUAGACUGUAACUGACACUGAUGCACGAAAGUGUGGGGAUCAAACAGGAUUAGAUACCCUGGUAGUCCACACUGUAAACGAUGAUUACUCGAUGUUGGCGAUACACGGCCAGCGUCUUAGCGAAAGCGAUAAGUAAUCCACCUGGGGAGUACGCCCGCAAGGGUGAAACUCAAAUGAAUUGACGGAA
rnacentral:rRNA from 1 species